AGGUUCGACCUGGCUCAGGAUGAACGCUGGCGGCAUGCUUAACCCAUGCAAGUCGAACGGGAGUGGUGUUUCCAGUGGAGAACGGGUGGAACGCGUAAGAACCUGCAUUGGGAGGGGAACAACAACUGGAAAACGGUUGCUAAUACCCCGUAGGCUGAGGAGCAAAAGGAGAAUCCGCCCAAGGAGGGGCUCGCGUCUGAUUAGCUGUUGGGAGGCAUGCUACCAGGCGAUGAUCAGGAGCUGGUCAGAGAGGAUGAUCAGCCACACUGGGACUGAGACACGCCCAGACGCCUACGGGAGGCAAGCAGUGGGGAAUUUUCCGCCAAUGGGCGAAAGGCCUGACGGAGCAUUGCGGUGGAUGUGGGGAAGGGCCUACGGUCGCAACCUUCUUUCUGAGAAGAACAAUGACGAUCUGAGAAUAAGCACGGCUAAAUCUGGCCAGCAGCCGCGGUAAGACAGAGAUGCAAAGCGUGAUCGGAUGAUUGGGCGUAAAGAGUCUGUAGUGGCUUUUCAAGUCCGCCGUCAAAAUCCCAGGGCUCAACCCUGGGAAGGCGGUGGAAAUACCAGCUGGAUACGGUAGGGGCAGGAGGGAAUUUCCGGUGGCGCGGGAAAUGAUGAAUCGGACAGACACCAAACGGCGAAAGCAAUCAUGCUGGGCCGACAAAUGACCACUGAGAGACGAAAGUAGGGGACAAAUGGGAUUAGAGGACCCCAGUAGUUCCUAGCCGUAAAAGAUGGAACUAGGGCUGUGCGACUCACCCGUUUGACAGUGCUGUAGCUAACGCGUUAAGUAUUCCCGUGGGGAGUACGUUCGCCAGAAUGAAACUCAAAGGAAUGACGGGGGCCCGCACAAGCGGUGGAGCAUGUGGUUUAAUUCGAUGGGUUGCAAAGCGAAGAACCUACCAGGCUUGACAUGCGCGAAUCCUCUUGAAAGAGAGGGGUGCCAUCGGGAACGGGCAAGGUGGUGAAUGGCUGUCGUCAGCUCGUGCAGUAAGGUGUUGGGUAAGUCUCGCAACGAGCGCAACCUCCGUGUUUAGUUGCCCUAUGAGUUGGAACCCUGGAACAGACCGCCGGUGUUAAGCCGGAGAAGGAGAGGAUGAGGCCAAUCAUCAUGCCCCUUAUGCCCUGGGCGACACACGUGCUAAAUGGGCGUGACAAAAGGGUCGCGAUCUUCGCGAGGUUGAGCUAACUCCAAACCGUCAUCAGUUCGGAUUGCAGGCUGCAACUCGCCGCAUGAAGCAGGACUAUUUGUCUAUAGUAAUUCGCCGGUCAGCCAUACGGCGGUGAAUCCGUUCCCGGGCCUUGUACAAACCGCCCCGUCACCACUAUAGGAGCUGGCCAGGUUUGAAGUCAUACCCUUAACCGUGGAGGGGGAUGCCUAGGCUAGGCUUGCGACUGGAGUGAAGUCGUAACAAGUAGCCGUACUGGAAGUGCGGCGG
rnacentral:rRNA from 1 species